AGAGUUUGAUCCUGGCUCAGGAUGAACGCUAGCGGCAGGCUUAAUACAUGCAAGUCGAACGGGAUAGAUUGUAGCAAUACGAUCUUGAGAGUGGCGCACGGGUGCGUAACACGUAUGCAACCUACCUUUAUCUGGAGAAUAGCUUUCGGAAACGGAAAUUAAUACUCCAUAAUAUGUAGAAUAGGCAUCUAUUUUACAUUAAAGUAACAACGGAUAAAGAUGGGCAUGCGCAACAUUAGCUAGUUGGUGUGGUAAAAGCGCACCAAGGCUACGAUGUUUAGGGGGUCUGAGAGGAUUUUCCCCCACACUGGUACUGAGACACGGACCAGACUCCUACGGGAGGCAGCAGCAGGGAAUAUUGGUCAAUGGAGGCAACUCUGAACCAGCCAUGCCGCGUGCAGGAUGACGGCCCUCUGGGUUGUAAACUGCUUUUGUCAGGGAAGAAUAAGCUUAACGUGUUAAGUGAUGACGGUGCCUGAAGAAUAAGGAUCGGCUAACUCCGUGCCAGCAGCCGCGGUAAUACGGAGGAUCCAAGCGUUGUCCGGAUUUAUUGGGUUUAAAGGGUGCGUAGGCGGAUAUGCCAGUCAGAGGUGAAAGCUAGCAGCUUAACUGUUAAAUUGCCUUUGAAACUGCAUAUCUUGAGUAUAGUUGAGGUGGGCGGAAUGUAUCAUGUAGCGGUGAAAUGCUUAGAUAUGAUACAGAACUCCGAUUGCGAAGGCAGCUCACUAAGCUAUAACUGACGCUGAGGCACGAAAGCGUGGGUAGCGAACAGGAUUAGAUACCCUGGUAGUCCACGCCCUAAACUUUGCAUACUCGUUGUUGGCGAUACACAGUCAGCGACUAAGCGAAAGCGUUAAGUAUGCCACCUGGGGAGUACGACCGCAAGGUUGAAACUCAAAGGAAUUGACGGGGGCCCGCACAAGCGGAGGAGCAUGUGGUUUAAUUCGAUGAUACGCGAGGAGCCUUACCUGGGCUUGAAAGCUAGUGACCGUUCCUGAAAGGGAACUUCUCUUCGGAGCACGAAACUAGGUGCUGCAUGGCUGUCGUCAGCUCGUGCCGUGAGGUGUUGGGUUAAGUCCCGCAACGAGCGCAACCCCUAUCUUUAGUUGCCAUCAGGUAAUGCUGGGAACUCUAAAGAGACUGCCUACGUAAGUAGUGAGGAAGGUGGGGACGACGUCAAGUCAUCAUGGCCCUUACGUCCAGGGCUACACACGUGCUACAAUGGUCGCUACAAAGGGUUGCAACACAGCAAUGUGAAGCUAAUCCCAUAAAAGCGGCCUCAGUUCGGAUUGAAGUCUGCAACUCGACUUCAUGAAGUUGGAUUCGCUAGUAAUCGCAUAUCAGCAAUGAUGCGGUGAAUACGUUCCCGGGCCUUGUACACACCGCCCGUCAAGCCAUGGAAGAUGGGAGAACCUGAAGCCGAUAACCGCAAGGAGUCGUCUAGGGUUAUACCAUUGACUGGGGCUAAGUCGUAACAAGGUA
rnacentral:rRNA from 1 species